rnacentral:rRNA from 1 species
UUUUAUGGAGAGUUUGAUCCUGGCUCAGGACGAACGCUGGCGGCGUGCCUAAUACAUGCAAGUCGAGCGAACAGAGAAGGAGCUUGCUCCUUUGACGUUAGCGGCGGACGGG